rnacentral:rRNA from 1 species
CCUACGGGAGGCAGCAGUGGGGAAUAUUGCACAAUGGGCGAAAGCCUGAUGCAGCGACGCCGCGUGAGGGAUGACGGCCUUCGGGUUGUAAACCUCUUUCAGUAGGGAAGAAGCGUAAGUGACGUACCUGCAGA